UACGUAGGGGUCGAGCGUUGUCCGGAAUUACUGGGCGUAAAGGGCGCGCAGGCGGAUAUUUAAGUCAGCUGUAAAAGGCACGAGCUCAACUCAUGUAUGCGGUUGAAACUGGGUAUCUAGAGUGCUGGAGAGGUAGGCGGAAUUCCCGGUGUAGCGGUGAAAUGCGUAGAUAUCGGGAAGAACACCAGUGGCGAAGGCGGCUUACUGGCCAGCAACUGACGCUGAGGCGCGAAAGCCAGGGGAGCGAACG
rnacentral:rRNA from 1 species